AGAGCGAACGCUGGCGGCAGGCUUAACACAUGCAAGUCGAGCGGGCGUAGCAAUACGUCAGCGGCAGACGGGUGAGUAACGCGUGGGAACAUACCUUUUGGUUCGGAACAACACAGGGAAACUUGUGCUAAUACCGGAUAAGCCCUUACGGGGAAAGAUUUAUCGCCGAAAGAUUGGCCCGCGUCUGAUUAGCUAGUUGGUGAGGUAACGGCUCACCAAGGCGACGAUCAGUAGCUGGUCUGAGAGGAUGAUCAGCCACAUUGGGACUGAGACACGGCCCAAACUCCUACGGGAGGCAGCAGUGGGGAAUAUUGGACAAUGGGCGCAAGCCUGAUCCAGCCAUGCCGCGUGAGUGAUGAAGGCCCUAGGGUUGUAAGCUCUUUUGUGCGGGAAGAUAAUGACGGUACCGCAAGAAUAAGCCCGGCUAACUUCGCGCCAGCAGCCGC
rnacentral:rRNA from 1 species